AGAGUGAACGCUGGCGGCAGGCCUAACACAUGCAAGUCGAACGGCAGCACAGUAAGAGCUUGCUCUUAUGGGUGGCGAGUGGCGGACGGGUGAGGAAUACAUCGGAAUCUGCCUAUUUGUGGGGGAUAACGUAGGGAAACUUACGCUAAUACCGCAUACGACCUACGGGUGAAAGCGGAGGACCUUCGGGCUUCGCGCAGAUAGAUGAGCCGAUGUCGGAUUAGCUAGUUGGUGGGUAAACGGCCACGAGGCGACGAUCCGUAGCUGGUCUGAGAGGAUGAUCAGCCACACGUGGAACUGAAGACACGGUCCAGACCUCCGUACGGGAGGCAGGCGAGGUAGGGGAAUAGUUAGGACAAGUGGGCGACGAACGCC
rnacentral:rRNA from 1 species